GCGACUUUCCAGCUCCAACUUCACAUUCCCAUUCCCAGUCCCCCAGUCCUACCGUCUUUAUGUCUCCACCAGCUCUGCUGCCUCAGCUCCAGGUUCUCAGCUUUCUGCUGCCUCUGCCUCAGCUUUCUGCUGCCUCUGCCUAAAUCUGCUCCUGGGUAUCUCUGCAGCCCGGGGCUGUUGACAAGGUCACAAAUCAGUCUUUGUCAUUCACUUAAAUAUCUCUAAGAGCUGUCCCACCCAUCCCAACGGGAACAGCAACAAAACAAUAGAAUAAACAAUCAAGUAGUCAAAGACGAAAAUAAAAGCAAAAUAAAAUUA